CUGGAGGGAGAAGGCAGCAGCAUGGAGGCAGCAUAGCAGAACAGGCAGCAUGAAGUACAGAGCAGUAUUGAGACAGGAGGCAGCAUGGAGAUACAGGAGAGGCUGGAGUGAGCUGCUACUACAUGAUCACUCCCAUCAGCAGCAUGGAGAACAGGCAGUACUGAGACAGGAGGCAGCAUGGAGGUACAGGAGAGGCUGGAGUGAGCUGCUACUACAUGAUCACUCCCAUCAGCAGCAUGGAGAACAGGCAGUACUGAGACAGGAGGCAGCAUGGAGAUACAGGAGAGGCUGGAGUGAGCUGCUACUACAUGAUCACUCCCAUCAGCAGCAUGGAGAACAGGCAGUACUGAGACAGGAGGCAGCAUGGAGAUACAGGAGAGGCUGGAGUGAGCUGCUACUACAUGAUCACUCCCAUCAGCAGCAUGGAGAACAGGCAGUACUGAGACAGGAGGCAGCAUGGAGGUACAGGAGAGGCUGGAGUGAGCUGCUGCUACUGCAUGCUCACUCCCAUCUGCAGCAUGGAGGCAGCAUAGAAGAACAGAGGCAGCAUGGAGGUACAGGAGAGGCUGGAGUGAGCUGCUGCUGCUGCAUGCUCACUCCCAUCAGCCUCAGACAGAACUCCAAGCAAGCCACCAUCCUGG